CAGUGGCCCUGACCAGCCUCACCUGGGGCUUCCCCCCACAUCUGUGGACCUGGGUGGGCCCUCAGUCCCUGCUGACCCAUGGGAAGUGUUUGUUUCUGGUUCAGUUGCAGCCUAUGGAGUCUUUGGGUCUGGGCUUCACUCACAGGUUGGCUCCUUAGCUCUGUCCCCAUGUACUCUGAAGAUAUUUCUAAGCAAAUGAGCUCCCGUGUGUGCCUGCAGCGUCACCCUGAAGCACUCAUUUGCAGUGUGAAGUCUGAACGCUUCUGCAGCAACUGCAGCCGCUCAGCCCAGAGUCUGACCUCGAGCAUCCCAGGCAGCGAGGCUUGGAUGUUCUGCAGCGUUACAAACCUGCACCUCCCGCUGAUGAAAAAGAGAACUGCAGGCACUCGGAAUCGCUCCUCGAGCCUUCCAUUUUCUCUCCUGCCACAAACUGAGUUGCAAGGAUGUUCUCAGCAAACGUACCUUUUGAUUCUGUGAUACCUGUGUCUUACUCAGCAGCAUGCAGCAGACAGAGCAAGAAAAACAAAAGGUAUUUCAGUAACUGGAAUGAAUAGGAAAAAUCUUUUUUCUUUUUUUUUAACUUAGAAAAACUGAAGAUGUGAGCAAAGAAAAACAAGAGGGAUGAAAGGUUUCCUCCCCCCUCCCUCUGGUGCUAUAAAUAUUUCUGAAUGUACUUUAACAUGAAUCCCUAAAAAUGCAUGUGGCCAAGCAUAUGUGUGUUUCUAUGUAUGGCUAUCAACAUAACCACAGUUGUGUAUGCUGAUUUUGU